CCUCGUUUCUGCAUCCUGGUUCCCUCGCUCUGGGAAAUCCCACAUGCACUGGAAACAAACUCAGACUUCCUGCAAAGCAGGAAAUUUUUUUUUUUUUAAAGCCUUUGUUUCAAGUUGGAACAAAGUCAGCUUUCAAAAUUUCCCAAGACUUUGGUAACAUUCCUCCAUCUCCAGCAAAUUUCCAUUCUGUGACUGAGGUUUGCCACUUGACUGUGUCAACGGGCAGGCAAGCCUUGAGCGCUGCUGAAGAACUGGGCCCUUACGGUGUGCUCUUAGUUGUAAAGACUCAGGUGGGUUUUCAACCAGAAACAGCAAUUUAAGGAAAUGGGGACAGAGAGCAAAAUGUGCAGGUACAUCAUGGGAUCUGCUGCCCUUUCCGCUGUUGUGCCUGGUCUACAAAGUAUUAAUGAGGAGACUUUCGAGCAACUCUGCGCAGCAAGAGCUUGAGCCAGCUUUGCGGUGUGCAGCGGGACAGAGAAGGGGUGAGGGGCAACGCACUUCCUGCUGCGUCAGCAACUCUGCUAAUACACAGAAAGGAGCUGCUCUCCUAGGGACACGAGUUUUAUUACAAGAUUAACCUGGUGUUUAAAACCACACACAGGUUAAAUCCUUGGCCAGGGCACUGUUUGGCGCUGCUCCCUGCGACACUUACUUACCCCGCACAUCAGAGAUCUUGAUGAACUCCAGCUGUUCUGCGAGCUCCUUCACAACGCGGUCGAGGCUCCUGGCGUCAGUCUCCAGCGUGCUCAGAAGUUUAGACGACCCUCGCCAAGCUCUUCCAGCCACAGUUUAACCAUCUACGUUCCUCGCUGGAAAGUCAGUCUCCGAGUCCCUACCAGAUGCCACAGCUUGGUUUCUGGACACCACAUUAAUAAUGAAGCAGGCAGUCAUAAACCCACAGCAACCCCUCUUCUGCUGGCCAACGCUGUGUGAAACAGGAUGUCCACCACAUCCUGGACCUCUAGCAGAGAGGAGGCCAUAUCUGCGCCCCACUUGCCACCAGCAGCCUAUUUCACACCCCAGCAUGGAGCAAGUCCCAGGGCCUUACACAGAGCACCUUCCCUUUACAUCUUGGUGGGGCUUAAACCCUUUACUGACUUCAGCUGCAGCCAGUUACUGUGAGGAGAAAGGUGGAAGAAGACCGGGAUAAAGAACGACAAGUCAAGGCAGAGCAGGUCCCUCGCUUUGAAGAUGAAUGUUAGACAGAGAUCAAAUCUGUGCCUGGGUAAGCAGAGGAGGAAACUAAAGUACCUCCCAUGGAAAAUAAAAUAGUGAAGGGCAAAAAAGUCUUCUUUUGA
rnacentral:lncRNA from 1 species